UGGGGAAUAUUGCGCAAUGGGGGAAACCCUGACGCAGCGACGCCGCGUGAGCGAUGAAGGCCUUAGGGUUGUAAAGCUCUGUUUUAAGGGACGAAUGUUAUGGGGAGUAAUAUGCCCUGUAAAUGACGGUACCUUAAGAGGAAGCCCCGGCUAACUACGUGCCAGCAGCCGCGGUAAGA
rnacentral:rRNA from 1 species